GCCGGGAUGGUCUAAUCGGUUAAGGCGUCGCCCUGGAUAUGCGAAGAUGCAGGUUCAAUGUCCGCUUCUGGCC
rnacentral:tRNA from 1 species